rnacentral:rRNA from 1 species
AUUGAACGCUGGCGGCAGGCUUAACACAUGCAAGUCGAGCGGGGUGAUGGUGCUUGCACUAUCACUUAGCGGCGGACGGGUGAGUAAUGCUUAGGAAUCUGCCUAUUAGUGGGGGACAACAUCUCAAAGGGAUGCUAAUACCGCAUACGUCCUAGGGGAGAAAGCAGGGGAUCACUUGUGACCUUGCGCUAAUAGAUGAGCAUAAGUCGGAUUAGCUAGUUGGUGGGGUAAAGGCCUACCAAGGCGACGAUCUGUAGCGGGUCUGAGAGGAUGAUCCGCCACACUGGGACUGAGACACGGCCCAGACUCCUACGGGAAGCAGCAGUGGGGAAUAUUGGACAAUGGGGGGAACCCUGAUCCAGCCAUGCCGCGUGUGUGAAGAAGGCCUUAUGGUUGUAAAGCACUUUAAGCGAGGAGGAGGCUCUUUUGGUUAAUACCCAAGAUGAGUGGACGUUACUCGCAGAAUAAGCACCGGCUAACUCUGUGCCAGCCGCCGCGGUAA